rnacentral:misc_RNA from 1 species
UAACCCUCAACUCACUGGUUUUUUCGAAAAUGGGUGAGUUUGAACAAUGGAUGAUGCAUUUCUGAUGCUCGUCUGAAAUGAACAAUCAACCUGUUGUGUUGCACUUUUGUUAUAGUUUUUCUCUCAAAAGAGUGAUGUGACAGAGGGUUGACUUUGGAUUUUGAUCCACUUUUAAA